rnacentral:tRNA from 1 species
CCCCGGAUGGUGGAAUUGGUAGACACGCUAGUUUCAGGUACUAGUGCUCUCACGGGCAUGGAAGUUCAAGUCUUCUUCCGGGGACAA